UCAUUUAGAUGAGAAAAGUUUUAUUUCAUCCUUUAAAUUUAUUGAGGUCUUAACUGACAGACCAGUUUUGAUUAAAUACAAAUAGCUUUUCAAUGGUGUGUCUUUACUUUGGAUGUUAAAUUAUACAUUAUAUUAUCUGUGGUGUUUGUGGAUAGCAUGAAAGCCUUUCUAUCAAAAAUUCAUUGCAAAAUGUUGAUCUUUAAAAAUAUUAUAAGCGUUUUUUUUCACUUAAAGGAAUGGGGCUAUAUUCAAAAUAAUUCUAUCAGGCAUGAAAUUGUUGAAUUAGCUGUAAAAGGCAGGCCAGAUGAAUGCGGGAAGAAGGUGAUCAGAUUGAGCAGUUCAUUAGCUCAUGAGAAAGAGCAGUUAGUGUUGUCAUGUCUGGGCCGAGACAGAGUUGGUCAGAUUGUCCUGCCAAGGAAAUGUCGUGGGGAGGAAUUAUAUUGUCCGGGAAAGAGUCCUAAGAGGAAUGUUCCUUUAAAGUCCAUGCUAAAAUCUGCUAUUUUGGGUAUUAAGACUGUACUCCACUAAAAAGAAACUGUUACAGCUGUGACAUUUUACCAAUAAAAGCCAUAACAUUCUCCUAUGAGUGACAUGCCCUGGUUUGAUCAUAGCUAGCCUGAAAAUGUCAAGGGGAAUGAGUGUUAGGCAUCAAUUAUUUCUAAUUUCCAUGUAAUUAGUCUCCCUAAACUUAGAAUUUGGGAUCUGAAUUGGUCUGUCCUAGAAUUUUCCCUAAAGUAUUCUUCACCAGCUGCCCAAGAAGCCCUGGAUAAGCGCUUGGAAAGUAAUGGAGUUGGACUCCCAGAUAUGGGAUUGGUCUGGGAUUUGGCUGCUCUUUAGUGGACUGAGUCCAGAGAGUUUCAACCUCUUGGGUGUGACAGUGACUGCAGUUUGUCAGUGGAUAUAGACACUUUGAGUCUCUGGAGCUGAAGUUGAUGGAGGUCCAUUCUUGGAUUGCCUAAGGAGUCAUCUCUCAAAUCCCUGAGAAGUUACAGCUGUUUCAUUGCAAACUCACACACCAAGGGUGAAGGAGGAAAUCAGAAAACCCCAAUGGUUGGUCCAGUACAUACAGCUCUGUGAGAGACACCAGAUCUGAAGUUGAGAAUUCGCUUUUGGAAAAUGGCAAGAAUCUUAUCCGGUGGUGACUGGAAAGGAACUGGGAUAGAAGCUCAUUAUGGAAUGCAUCAUGCAUCUGCUUGGAUGGGAGGAGGGCAAGUCAUAAGCUUUGCACAACUUUCUAAGACAAAAGAUAGACGUUUGGGAAGUGUAGCAGAUUGAUUCCUUUCAUGGUCAUAAUUAAUGACUAUCUAAGCCCAUGUCAGUGAGAUCUUGCAGUCACUCCAUAAAGAGAUGGAGUCUAUAUUCUCUUGUCUUGAUGCUUUGAACUCAUUUUGGUGAGUACACUGUCAAAAGUUGAAUGUAUGCCAAUUCCUAGCCUAGUGUUCAAGAGGCCUUUCAAAUUUCCACUUGCCUUCUUGGAACUUUAGCAUUAACUGGGGAACAAGCCUGGGACAGUUUCCAGAAAAAAGUUAGCAUAGCGGGUCUGAAGUUACUAUCCUUGGAAAGACUUGCUUGCAAGAUGGGCCCUAAACUGGCAUCUGAAAACUUGGAUUUCUCAAAUAUUCCUCCCACUGAAACUAUUAAGAGUGGCUCACUGUGCUUAAAAUAUUUGUUUAAGCAAUAUGGUUUAUGUUGAACUCCUGCUUUUGUUCUGAGAGUGUGGAAUUUUGGUAUGUGCCAGGUAGAGGGUACGUAAUUACAUGACCAGCCCCUACCACAAAUCCUGGGCAUUGAGUCUCCAGUGAAAUUCCCUGGUAGACAACAUUUCAGAUGUGUUGUCACAGUUCAUUGCUGGAGGAAUUAAGCACAGUCCUAUGUGAUUCGACUAAGAGAGGACUCUGAAACUUGUACCUUGUCUCCUGAGGACUUUGCCUCACAGGCCUUUGCUUUUGCUGAUUUUACUUUGUAUCCUUUUGCAUAAUAAACCACAGCCACGAGUUUGACUAUUUGCUGAGGCUUUUGUGAGUUCUCCUAGUGAAUCACUGAAUCUCUGGAGUCGUCUUGGGAAUCCCUGGCAUGGAUAGACUGCUGAGGAAUGAAAGACAACAUGAAUCAGAGAAAAUUUUCCCACUUGAGGUUAUCUUAAAUCAGCUAACAGUCAGCUAACUGCCAGAUGUGAGUGAGCCCCAGAUGAGCAUCCAGAGAUGGGAGCAAGUUUGGAUUAUUUUCAGGGUUAAGGUUGAUUAUCUUAUUCUCCUUUCCCCUGGCACACAACGGGUGCUUAGUUGGGCAUUAAAUAUGUGGCUGAUUGGCUUAGCUAUUUAGUAAUGUGUGCUAACAUCAGUGCUGAUUACCAGAAUUUCUUUCUUCAAAAUAAAAUAGCCAGGAAGAAUUGCUUCACAGAGCAUCUUGAGGAAUCAUCACAGCAAAACUAGGGGACCUAUUGUUUCAUCAUCCCAUGGGAUACAGGCUGGCUCAAGCUACCAGUGAAGUGGUUAGGCCUACUGGUUAGCUCCAGAGUAAGGAAUGCUUCCACCAGAAGACAGCAGUGACUCCAUUGAACUGGAAGUUAAGUGACAUCUGGCCACUUUGGACUCCUCAUUUCUCUGAAUCAACGGGCAAAGAAGAGAGUUAUGGUGCUGGCUAGGGUGAUUGACCCAGACUGCUCAGAGAAAAUUGAACUGCUACUUCAUAAUUGAGGACUUUGAUAGAAGCUUUAUGCCAGACCAAGCAGCAGGAUAAUUUCAUCCAGGACUUGGAUAAUAGGUUUUCUUUUGAAGUUAAGCCAUCACAAAACAAAACUAAAUGAAGGAUAUUCAGGGGAGUCUCUACCGGGUCUCUGCAGGGCUUGGAGACUUUCCUAACAGGAAGUCCUUCAUUUUAACGGAAAACCUAGAACUAAAUCAGCUGAAGCUUUCACAAGAUUUGUAACUGUUCUAAGAUGAAGUGCACAUGACUUGGCUAUUGCAUCUAAUGAAGACUGAAAUGGGCAAGUGGCUUUUGAUGACUUCUGCGUGUUGACUCAAUACCCUGUUACGGACUGAAUGUCUAUGCCCCUCCCAAAGUUUGUAUGUUAAAGUCCUAACUGCCAGUGUGGCUGUAUUCAGAAUAGGGAAGUAGUCAUGAUUAAAUGAGCUCAUGGUGGGGGGACCCUAAUCCAAUAGGAUUAAUGUCCUUAUAAAAAGAGACACUAGAGAGUUCCACUCUCUUUCUGUGCACAGGAACCAACAGAAGUCCAUGAAAAUACAGACUAGGAUGGGGGCUCUCACCACAAACAGACCAUGAUAAUUUCUUGAUCUCAAACUUCCAUCCUCCAGAACUGUGAGGAAAUAAAUUUCUAUAUUUUCAACCAUCCAGUCUGUAGUAUUUGUUAUAGCAGCCGAAGCUGACUAACACAGUAGCCACCAACCUGCCUAGGUUUCUCAUGACUAAAAAUGAAAAGGAUUUGUAAGUAAAUAAUCCUAACAACAAAGCAUUUCCAUAAUCAUUUAUUGUACCACUCUUGCACUUAAACAUGUUAAGAGUAUUUGAGGAACAUAAGUUACCUUUGCCAA